rnacentral:lncRNA from 1 species
GGAGAGGGGAGAGAGGAGGCUGGAAAUCACCAAAAGCCACAACUACUGAAGUCAGGUCUCUGCCAUGUGCUGGGUGACCUUAGCCUGCCCUUCCCUCGGUCUCUUCCCUCUUUUCUGGAAUAGAACCCAGAGCCUUGCACAUGCUAGACAAGCGCUCACCCUGAGCCACCCAGGCUGGCCUCGAACUUGAGGUGAUCCUCCUGCCUCAGCCUCCCAAGUGCUGGGCUUCCAGUUCCGAGCUGGAGUCCCUGCAUCAAGCCGUUCCUGAAGCCAGCGUCCUUGAAUAUGUUUCCUUCAGCUAUGAGAGCCAGCUCCCCUGCUUUUCACUAAGGCAACUCCUGUUGGCCAGCACUCCCCAGACCAGCGCCACCUCCUCUAAGACGCCUCCUCUGCCUCCCCUCCCCCAGGCGGUUCUGGGGGCUUCUGUCUUUCCUUGCGUUCAAGACGCACCAGGAUCCGAAGCAUCAACCACAAGGAACGAACAACACCCCGAUUACACCACCGUAACACGAGACUUUGUUCAGGUGGGGAAACUGAGGCCCAGAGAGGCAAAGCACAGAAACAGGGACAGCACCAGCACCAGCACCAGGGUUCAGGCUCUGGACAUGUGGGACAAGAAUUCACCUUCCAGGGCUUCCCAGGGUGAUGGCCCGGACUCCUCAGCCAGAGCCCUGGUGGCCACGGGGAUAAGCAGCUGCCCCGCGGGGCUGAAACGUAGCCAGCGAUGCUCCUGCGAGGGGAGGCCCCGCGUCACGCGUGGGCGGCAGAGCCGGAACUCGGGGCACAGCUAUUUCUGGAGGCCGAGGCGAGAAAGUGGGGGCGGCGGAAGAGCCUCACAGGAACGGGGAGGCUGGGGGCCCCGGCGGGGGGCUCAGGGCCUGGUGUCCUCUGUGGGAAUGGAGAGCCGGGUGCAGAACCCCGAGCCCCUGUGGGCGCCAGAGGAGGAGCCAGGCAGGGAUGCUGUCCCCAACAGGCGACAAGACGCCCGGACAGACUGGCCGGGCCCUGGGGCAAAGCCAAGCUAGGACCUGGAAAUGUGGAGCCGGGUGGACGGCUGGGCUGCAGAUUUAAAUACG